rnacentral:rRNA from 1 species
UACAGGGGUGCAAACGUUGCUCGGAAUCAUUGGGCGUAAAGCGCACGUAGGCGGUUCGUUAUGUCGGAUGUGAAAGCCCUUGGCUUAACCGAGGAAGUGCAUCCGAAACUGGCGAGCUAGAGUACUAAAGAGGAUCGCGGAAUUCCCGGUGUAGAGGUGAAAUUCGUAGAUAUUGGGAAGAACACCGGUGGCGAAGGCGGCUCUCUGGCCCGCAACUGACGCUGAGGCGCGAAAGCGUGGGAGCAAACAGG